GACGAACGCUGGCGGCGUGCUUAACACAUGCAAGUCGAACGGAAAGGCCCUGCUUUUGUGGGGUGCUCGAGUGGCGAACGGGUGAGUAACAAGUGAGUAACCUGCCCUUGACUUUGGGAUAACUUCAGGAAACUGGGGCUAAUACCGGAUAGGAGCUCCUGCUGCAUGGUGGGGGUUGGAAAGUUUCGGCGGUUGGGGAUGGACUCGCGGCUUAUCAGCUUGUUGGUGGGGUAGUGGCUUACCAAGGCUUUGACGGGUAGCCGGCCUGAGAGGGUGACCGGCCACAUUGGGACUGAGAGACGGCCCAGACUCCUACGGGAGGCAGCAGUGGGGAAUAUUGCACAAUGGGCGGAAGCCUGAUGCAGCAACGCCGCGUGCGGGAUGACGGCCUUCGGGUUGUAAACCGCUUUCGCCUGUGACGAAGCGUGAGUGACGGUAAUGGGUAAAGAAGCACCGGCUAACUACGUG
rnacentral:rRNA from 1 species